UGGCGGGUCUUGCGCAAUGGCAGCUCAUGAACCUCGUCAGGUCCGGAAGGAAGCAGCGAUAAGUGAUCCCUGUUAUGUGCCGCAAGGGUGCCUGCUGUAG
rnacentral:SRP_RNA from 1 species